AAGCGAAAUGCAAAACUGUCAACUGUCAAACUAAAGUGCAAUUUCACAGGAAAGUUGUUAUCACGGGCAGAAAAAAAUAAUGAAGACAAUUGUUUUUGUUUUAACUGUGUGUCUGUUAGUACACGCAUGUACCGGGUGUUCAAUCUGGAACCAAAACAAACCGUGUCACUGCGCAUGUGAAGACGCCAGCGCAUCUUGUAGAAAUAGAUGUUCCUUAAUGUGCUACCGUCAAAGCUGCAGAAGCACUGAGAUAAUUGCACAAAGCAGAUGUUACAAUCAAUGUUUCAAUACAUUUAAUACCUGUUACAACGGUUGCUAGCUAAAUGUAAAUGACGCAUUAUUCAGUAUAUUGUAACUGAUGUGUUUGAGCCAACCAAUGUUGUCAUUAAUUAAAUAAUAUGCAAAAUU
rnacentral:sRNA from 1 species